GGUCUCGUAGCUCAGCGGUUAGAGCAUCGGAUUAUCAUUUGCCUCCAAUAAGGGAAUGUUUAUUCCGAAAACCAGGGUUCGACUCCCUGCGAGGUGA